UCCCUUUCGCUGCUCCUAACACAGCAAACCUCCAGCCAGAACAGCAAAAACGCCAAAGGAACAGCCUGCUCCUGCCAGGCACCCUGACCCCACCUCCACCUGCCCACACAGACCUUCCCAACGGGACCUCCCCUGGGCACCCGGCUGGGAGAUCCAAGCAGGAAUCAUUAGCACAGCUCAGGGCACCUCGGAGACUUUCAACUCCCCCAGUUAUCCCAAACUUCCCGACUCGGUUCACCCAGGGUUUUGAUUCUCUGCCUCCAUCUGACCAAAAGCCGCUCAAACUCCUCUCGAAUUUCAGCUGGGGUUCUCCUCCUUUCCACAACCUAUGUGCAGAAUCAAGAUGGGAAGACAGUUGAGGACCCAGGAGAACUUUUUGCCAUCCCAAACAGAAGCUCUGUAUCCAGUAGUGACUUCAAUAUUUUAUAAACAAAUAUAUCACAGAAUGUUCUUUCUGACAUACGUAAGAUGAGAACUGAAACUGGAACAAUUCGGAGGGCACCGCCCUGGUGCAUGGAUAACGGAAACAGUAAUUCAGGAAGUAGUCCUGCUUGUGAAAAUUCACUGUGCCGUAUACUCAGGAGAUGACCACUUUUCUGUAUGUAUAUUCUAUUUCUAUAAAAAUACAAGGCCCCCUGGAAGAGGUGGGCCUCCGUAUUUCCAUCUCUGCAUUUUCUCCUUCUUCUUCUUCUUGCUCUAGUGUUUUGUUUUCCUCCCGACUUUAAAUGCAUUUCCUGCUACACUUAUCAAUACACCACCUGCACCAACCCUGGUGUUUCGAACAUAAAUCAUGGGAAAAUAAUCUUUUCCAGAAUAUCUGCGGAAAGUCUGGAAACAUGGGAUUCAUCCUCAAACAGAAAUAAACCCCAAGGAUGCAUUUGGAAUCAUCCUACAACAUCGAGCACUGUGUAGACUGGAGUAACUCAUUCUGUCUGACUGAUCUCCACAGGAACGUUGCAAGUAGAACAGAUUUAAUGUGAGACUAACCUGUAUCUCCUGUAAAAAUGCAGCUCCAUUUAAUUGACAAAAAAAAAAAAAAAAACCAACAA